GAGUUCUAGUGAGGAACCAUAUCCUAAGAGAGAUUGAGAGUGUUCGUAUAAUAAAAAAGAAACAGACUAAAGCUGCAACUCUGCAACACACCUUGCUGUGGUUGGUGCACAUCUUUUGGGCAAUAGACUCUCAUUCAGUGGCGUAGUCACACUUGUGUUAAGGUGUCCAAUUGAAGAUCCUUCAUCAGAAUAUUAUAUCGUAUAUACAAGUGAAAUGAUAAAUUAAGUGAUUAAAUAACAUAUUAUGGACAUCUUUGACAUAACAAUAUGACGUAGCCUAGUGGUUUCAGACGUCUUGAAAGAGUAAAGAAAGAUACACAAAUUUAAAGCGUUUGUGUGUUCGAAUUUCACUAGUAACAAUUUUUUUCAAUUUUUAAGAAGAACAUAUUCACUUUAGCACUUCGACACCCUUCCUGAAAAUCCUGGCUCCGCCACUGCUCUCACCCAAUCGUAUUGCUCUAAGGAUUUGCGUCCAUCUUAUAUCAAUCUCUUCACUUAACAAUACAAGUCAGUUUUUGAGUUCUGAAAAAUUCACAAGCUCAAAAAGGCCAACCUUUGAAGAAUCAUUCUCCGGAAGAAAAGCAAGGGACUUUGUUCUUAGCCUCUUAUAGGUUUAUUGUUUCUAUGUUUACCAUCUCUAGAUCUAUUCCCGAGUUAUAAAGGAACUAGAUCGGUUGCUUGUCAAAAUCCCCAGUUUGAGUCAGAUUAACUAGAGUAAGUUAGUCGAAUUAUCUAUACUUUAGUCAAGUUUCUCUUUAAUGGAUGAUUUAAGUGUUAUUUUGUACUGUCUCUGGAAUUUGAAUGAUUUAACAAACUAUGAGUUCUAGUGAGGGACCAUAUCCCAGGAGAGACUGAGAGUGUUUGUACAGUGAAAAAGACAACUGGCUAAAGCUGCAACUCUGUUGGUUGGUGCACAUCUUUCGGACAACAGACUCUCAUCCAAUCGUAUAGCUCUAAGGAUUUGCGUCCAUCUUAUGUCAGUGUCUUCACUUGACAAGAAACCAAUUUUUGAAUUUUGAAAAAUUCACAAGUUCAAAAAGGUCAUUUUUGAAGAAACAUUCUCCGAAAGAAAAGCAAGGGACCUGUGAUAGAGUUAUCUUUGUUCUUAGCCUCUUCUAGGUUUAUUGUUACUGUAUUUACCAUCUGUAGGUCUAUUCCCUAUUUAUAAAGGAACUAGAUUGGUUGCUUGUAUAAAUCCUCAGUUUGAGUCGGAUAAUUUACUAGAGUUAAUUAGUCAAAUCAUCUAUAUUUUGGUCAAGUUUUUUUCCCGAUAUUUUCUUGGGUAGAGGAGAGAGUUGGUGUAAUGGGCAACAUAGGUAUUGCUUAGUUCUUAUCUGGUAACAGUCAUUACAGCAAGAGAAUAUGGAUUAGUAAAAUAUAAUUAUCUAAGAUGAUUUCUUAAGAAAAUAUUACAAAAAGUGAAACGAAUAAUGACAUUUUCGUAAUACUUAACAAAAAAUAAAUCACAUAAAAUAAAUAUUGUUAAUUUAUAAAUUUUAAAGUGAAAAUAAUCAUAAUAUAG
rnacentral:lncRNA from 1 species